rnacentral:lncRNA from 1 species
UAGCUAUAAACUGGUCGUUUGUGUAAUGCGUGUUUGUAGCAAUUAAUCAUGCUCAAAAAUAAUCCAACGUCGCCUGGGACUGACACUACACGCUAUGCAAUGGUUUCAAUGUAACUUCAUGGAAUUCAAGGAAUUAGGAAAACAUCGGGUUUUCCUAGGGUUUUUCAAUACAUACAGAUUCGAAAUGCAUACAACUUUAAUGAACAAUUUGUACAAGUAUAGAAACAAACAAGCAUACCUAUGGAUCUUCACAAACGUUUUCAAAAGCUUUUCUUUUCAGAAAAUAUCGGAUUUUCUGGUGGUUUUCAAACGAUACGAAACAUUGUUUUUCUUCAAAUACCGCUUAUGAACUCACCAACAUUUCACAUGUUGACGUUUUUCAAAAUACUUGUAUUCUCAGGGAACCAGUGAAUCAAAGGAAAUCAUAUUCAGUGAUGGCUUGCAGUUUAUUUAUGUACGAAUCGAACAAUUUAUUUUUGGGAAUGUAAUGUUUAAACAAUGUACUUCAUGUAAACUCUACUGGUUGUACUAUAUUAAUGCAUGGUGACGAAUGUUGUUACGCUUCAUAUAUAUUCAAUGUUAUGGUAUUCAAUUGAGUCACAACAGCCCCCAGACGUUUCCGCCGUUUGGUUCGGGGGUGUGACAGGUUGGUAUCAACAAGCAUACCUAUGGAUCUUCACACCUUUUUGAGUAUACUAUUUUUAGAAAAUAUCGGAUUUUCUAGUGGUUUUCAAACAAUACAAAACAUUGGAUUUCAAACACUACUUAUGAACUCACCAACAUUUCAUAUGUUGACGUUUUUCAAAAUACUUGUAUUCUCAGGGAACCAGUGAAACAAAGGAAAUCAUAUUCAGUGAUGGCUUGCAGCUUAUUGAUGUACGAAUCGAACAAUUUAUUUUUGGGAAUGUAAUGUUUAAACAAUGUACUUCAUGUAAACUCUACUGGUUGUACUAUAUUAAUGCAUGGUGACGAAUGUUGUUACGCUUCAUAUAUAUUCAAUGUUAUGGUAUUCAAUUGAGUCACAACAGCCCCCGGACAUUUCCGCCGUCUGGUUCGGGGGUGUGACAGGUUGGUAUCAGAGCUUUGUUUAUAGUGAACUAGCAUGUCGAGCCACACAUUGAUAUGCAACUAUAAACCAAAAGAGGGACUAACAUAACUCUGAACAAAACAAGUAAAUAAAACACACUUGCUUGCAUUAGGAAUAAGGACCUAACGCCGAAUCAAACACAAUAAUGCUGGUAUCUCGGUUAAUUCGGGACUGUUCUUAGUGAUACCAAGGAGUGAAUGUAGCCUGAUCAACUACAUUCUCUC